AAAAUAUCUAUUGCUAUUAUGAAUUAUCCAAGGAUAUUAUAUCAGACAGGAGAACCCAAUUUAUAUGAAGCUUUUGGAAGACUCUUUUCAAGAUUCUAAAAGUGGAUAUAAAACUAUCUAUGGAAUUCCAUCCUCAAACUAAUUGACAAAUAGAGCGUUGUCGUAGUAUGUGAAGUCUUACUUGAGAAUGCUUUCAGUACUUGGCUAUAGAAAGAAGAAUAGAAAUUACAAUAACAAAACCCUAAUUCUAAUAGAAUACUAACAAUGCUCUAAUUGGACUACAAUAAUGCUAAACAAGCUUAAUCAAAUUCAAAGAAACCUCAAAGAAAUUUCAAAGAAAUAAUAAGAAAUCUUAAAGAAAUAUUAGAAUAAUCACAAAUAUCUCUCAAAUAUAUCUCAAAUCAAUCUUAAUUUAAUCCUAGUUAAAAUCCUAUUAGACUUCAUUCAAACUUUAGGCCAAAAUUAAUUAAAUCUUAAAUCCUAAAUAAAUCCUAAUAAAACCCUAAACCAAAUCCUAAGUAAAUCCUAAAUCCUAAAUCAAAUCCUAACUAAAUUCUAAACCCUAAAUCAAACCUUAAACCAAACCCUAAUCCAAACCCUAA
rnacentral:lncRNA from 1 species